rnacentral:lncRNA from 1 species
GCUACAUUGAGGCUCAGGAUCUGGAACUUCUGUUGUGAUUUCCUGAGGUUUUUCAGAGCAGUCCCGCCAGCUUUCUGUCUCCACAGGCCACAGUGUCAUUAGGUUUGAAGGAGAGCUGUUCUUAUUCCUGGAUUUCCAUUUGCUCUUGAUCUGGACUACACUGGGUAUCAAAGUAUACGUGGAUGAGAGAUUGUCGUUGGAGAGCCCUGGUCUCUACAGCAUGCACCCUACUGAUGACCUCUUCAAAACUCACGAUUCCAAUCAACAUAUUGGUUACUGACUUCUUUAAAGUACUUUAAAGGUUCUCUACCAAUUUCUACUAGUGAUAAUUGUCUUAAAAUGGCUUUCCUACGUAUAUGGUUGCAAAACUGUUCUGGUUCUUUUUGGAGGUGUAUUUACAGUGUAUAGCCACUAUUGAUGCAGUUUUUCUUCUUCCUUGGUCAGGUGAAGAGUGUUCUAGAUAAAAUGCUGAAGAAGUUACCAGAGGAGGAUAAUCUUGCAUAACUCAUGUCUAAAACAGACCAGAGGUGCCCCCACAUCCUAGUGUGCCUGCAGGAGUGAAGUUUCACAUGGAGCUGGUGGAGUGUUGAUUCAAUAGGAUGACUCAGGGACUGAGCAUCCUGUGUGUUAUUUUUCUAAGAAAUUGUUCAGCACAAUUACAGCACUAUUGAAAAAGAGGCGCUGGCCGUGGUACUGGUGCUGUGACACUUUGAUGUGAAAGUGAAAGUGAAGUGACAUUGAGCCAAUUGUGGUGACCCAUACUCAGAAUUUGUGCUCUGCAUUUAACCCAUCUGAAAUGCACACACACACAUAGCAGUGAACACACACACACACUGUGAGCACACAUCCGGAGCAGUGGGCAGCCAUUUAUGCUGCGGCACCCGGGGAGCAGUUGGGGGUUCGAUGCCUUGCAAUUCCAUCCGGCCCGAGACUAAAACUCACAACUCUUCGAUUGGGAGUCCAACCCUCUAACCAUUAGGCCACGACUUCCCUAAAUGCCUUAGCAGAGGAUGGUUGACAAUCCACUUGUGUUUUUGUCACAAAUGUCUAACUCAAGCUAGCGUUUGAUGCAUUGGUCUCUUGUUUUUCAGGAGUACAACCUUGAAAUUAAUCAUUGGUAGGGUUCAGACAAUGUAGCAGCUGAUGUGCUGUCCCAGUGUGGGGUUGCUGAUGAAUGACGCGUUUUUUGUUGUUGUUUUUUUCAUUAUGGGGGUGUUACAUCCGAGGAAGCAUUU